ACCACUUAGUUCUUGGGAGGUGGAGGAGCAUGUAGAAGACGUUGCCAUCGAAGGUAAAUGCUUUUAUUUGUUAAUUUUGAUUUUUUAUUGCUAGUUUAUCCAUUUAACUUAACCUCUACAUUUUUUUCUUCUAAAGGUAACCCUCUUCCUUCAACUUCAGCAACUUAAUUUAGUGGUUCAGCACAUUUGACAAACCUUCUGUAACUAGUUUGCUUUGUUGGAGACAAGGGCAUAGUGGUGUGAUGGUGGAUAAGAAGCUUUGCUAUAAUUGUGGAGAAGGUAAACAACCUUAUGUUUGCUUUAUGGAUUAUGUCUUUGCUGAAUCAAAAU